AAGCAACGGCCUUGGAACCAAUUAACCAUCACCCGCGCGACCUUCCGCUCCGACUCCCAGGAGUGCCCUCCUUCCAGCUCAGUUCUGAUCCUACUCGAGAGAGACUCGGAGAAGGGCGAACUCAUUGCAAAAUCGUGAGGACUCACUACAAUAAAGGACAAACACCCAUCCAGCUAUACGAUACGAGAAGGCAAGAGACCUGGGCCAGCUAUCCAGUCACUCUGCCCUUCAGGUUGCUCCUGAGGAAGAGAGACCAGGCAUCUCUCAUCACCGCGCCACACUGCUAUAGCUUGUUUAACUCUCUGUCCUUAAACUUCGUGAGAGCAGAGUUGGAAGGAUCCUGGGGCAGAACCCACGCUCAGCAUACUCUUCAGUCCUCAGGAGGGCAGGGAUAAACAGACACCUCCAACGCCUGGCAGCAGAGGGCCUGACAGAAGGUCGUCAGCAAAUAAUGAACGGCAGCUCCAUGGAAGUGACUGUUGAGGAGUGGGAUCUAACACACGUGUUUAUUCAAUCAAUGCUUAUGGAUUUCUUUUGUUAGACAGUCUCACCAUAAAGUCCAGGCUGGCUUUCACCUGGAGAUCCUUCUG